GGAAGGGAUGUAUUUAUUAGAUAAAAAACCAACGCCCUUCGGGGCUUCUUGGUGAUUCAUGAUAACUUUACGGAUCGCAUGGCCUUGCGCCGGCGACGGUUCAUUCAAAUUUCUGCCCUAUCAACUUUCGAUGGUAAGGUAUUGGCUUACCAUGGUUUCAACGGGUAACGGGGAAUUAGGGUUCGAUUCCGGAGAGGGAGCCUGAGAAACGGCUACCACAUCCAAGGAAGGCAGCAGGCGCGCAAAUUACCCAAUCCCGACACGGGGAGGUAGUGACAAUAAAUAACAACGCAGGGCUCCUUCGGGUCUUGUUAUUGGAAUGAGUACGAUUUAAAUCUCCUAACGAGGAACAAUUGGAGGGCAAGUCUGGUGCCAGCAGCCGCGGUAAUUCCAGCUCCAAUAGCGUAUAUUAAAGUUGUUGCAGUUAAAAAGCUCGUAGUUGAAUUUCAGGCCUGGCUGGACGGUCCGCCUUUUGGGUGAGUACUGUCUGUGGUCGGGUCCUACCUUCUGGCGAAGCGUCAUGGCCUUAACCGGCCGUGGCGGGGAACCAGGACUUUUAC
rnacentral:rRNA from 1 species